rnacentral:rRNA from 1 species
UAAUAUAUCGGAACGUACCCAAGAGUGGGGGAGUAACGUAGCGAAAGUUACGCUAAUACCGCAUACGAUCUAAGGAUGAAAGCAGGGGACCGCAAGGCCUUGUGCUCCUGGAGCGGCCGAUAUCUGAUUAGCUAGUUGGUGGGGUAAAGGCCUACCAAGGCAUCGAUCAGUAGCUGGUCUGAGAGGACGACCAGCCACACUGGAACUGAGACACGGUCCAG